rnacentral:rRNA from 1 species
AACGAACGCUGGCGGCAUGCCUAACACAUGCGAGUCGAACGAGACCUUCGGGUCUAGUGGCGCACGGGUGCGUAACGCGUGGGAACCUGCCCUUAGGUUCGGAAUAACUCCCCGAAAGGGGUGCUAAUACCGGAUAAUGUCUUCGGACCAAAGAUUUAUCGCCUUUGGAUGGGCCCGCGUUGGAUUAGCUAGUUGGUAGGGUAAAAGCCUACCAAGGCGGCGAUCCAUAGCUGGUCUGAGAGGAUGAGCGGCCACACUGGGCCUGAGAUAAGGCCCAGACUACUACGGGAGGCAGCGGUGGGGAGUAGAGAACAGGGGGAGGGAGGAUGAUGCAGACACGCCGCGCGCGGGAUGACGGAAUGCGGGUUGGAAAGCGAUUUCGCCUGUGACGGAGGGUGAGUGACGGUACUGGGUAAAGAAGCACCGGCUAACUACGUG